rnacentral:rRNA from 1 species
AGCAGCCGCGGUAAUUCCAGCUCCAAUAGCGUAUAUUAAAGUUGUUGCAGUUAAAAAGCUCGUAGUUGAAUUUCGAGACCGGCUUACUGGUCGUGCUUUUGUACGUACUGGUAUAAUCGGUUUCUCCUUUCUGACGAACUUUAAUGCCAUUAAUUUGGUGUUUUAGGGAAUCAGGACUGUUACUUUGAAAAAAUUAGAGUGUUUAAAGCAGGCUCACGCUUGAAUACAUUAGCAUGGAAUAACGGAAUAGGACGUUUGAUUCUAUUUUGUUGGUUUCUAGGAUCGACGUAAUGAUUAAUAGGGAUAGUUGGGGGCAUUAGUAUUCAAUUGUCAGAGGUGAAAUUCUUGGAUUUAUUGAAGACUAACUACUGCGAAAGCAUUUGCCAAGGAUGUUUUCAUUAAUCAAGAACGAAAGUUAGGGGAUCGAAGACGAUCAGAUACCGUCGUAGUCUUAACCAUAAACUAUGCCGACUAGGGAUCGGAUGAUGUUAAUUUUUUAAUGUACUUCAUUCGGUCCGCC